rnacentral:rRNA from 1 species
AGCGUGCGCAGGCGGUUCGGAAAGAAAGAUGUGAAAUCCCAGGGCUCAACCUUGGAACUGCAUUUUUAACUCCCGGACUAGAGUAUGUCAGAGGGGGGUGGAAUUCCACGUGUAGCAGUGAAAUGCGUAGAGAUGUGGAGGAGCACCGAUGGCGAAGGCAGCCCCCUGGGAUAAUACUGACGCUCAGGCACGAAAGCGUGGGUAGCAAACAGGAUUAGAUACCCUGGUAGUCCACGCCCUAAACGAUGUCAACUAGCUGUUGGGUUCUUCGGAGCUUAGUAGCGCAGCUAACGCGUGAAGUUGACCGCCUGGGGAGUACGGUCGCAAGAUUAAAACUCAAAGGAAUUGACGGGGACCCGCACAAGCGGUGGAUGAUGUGGAUUAAUUCGAUGCAACGCGAAAAACCUUACCUACCCUUGACAUGUCUGGAAUCCCGAAGAGAUUCGGGAGUGCUCGCAAGAGAACCGGAACACAGGUGCUGCAUGGCUGUCGUCAGCUCGUGUCGUGAGAUGUUGGGUUAAGUCCCGCAACGAGCGCAACCCUUGUCAUUAGUUGCUACGAAAGGGCACUCUAAUGAGA